AGCAUAUUGUGUAUUGGCCUAUUGGGUUUACAUUCUUACAGGUUCAUUUAACUCUAGCUCUCAAGUCUCAACAGACAAUUGGACAGGCCAAAUCCAUUUAUAUGACAACUUCAAAAAACGUUUUUUCGAAGCUAGAAAUCAGGGUUUUUUUCCAUUUUUUCCAGGGAUACUUUGUUUUCUGCUCUCUAGACUCCCCCUCGCGGCACUAGUGCUCCACCGGCUCUAGUGCUCACUUUGGUGACACCUGCUCACGGC